AACCUUAUGGACCUGCGGGCGUAUACCUGCGGAAGGAUCAUUAUCAAAACAGCGGCCUUCGGGCCUUGCUGCACCCUUGUCUUUUGCGCACCGUAUUGUUUCCUCGGCGGGCUUGCCUGCCGGUUGGACAUUAUCAAACCUUUUUGUAGUUGCAAUCAGCGUCAGAAAAACAAUAAUUAUUACAACUUUUAACAAUGGAUCU
rnacentral:misc_RNA from 1 species